UACGUAGGGGGCGAGCGUUGUCCGGAAUUACUGGGCGUAAAGGGCGCGUAGGCGGCCGUUUAAGUCCGCUGUGAAAGACCGAGGCUCAACCUCGGGGUGUCAGCGGAGACUGGACGGCUAGGGUGACGGAGAGGAGCGCGGAAUCCCUGGUGUAGCGGUGGAAUGCGUAGAGAUCAGGGGGAACACCGAUGGCGAAGGCAGUGCUCUGGCCGAAGACUGACGCUGAGGCGCGAAAGCUGGGGGAGCGAACGGG
rnacentral:rRNA from 1 species